AAGGCCACGUGAGUCCCGGGCCCGAGGAGGCGGAGAGAAAAGACACGGGUGCCAAGACGCCACCGCCCCAGAUCCUUCUGCCCCUGGAGGAGCGGGUGACCCACUUCCGAGACAUGCUCCUGGAGAGAGGGGUGUCAGCGUUUUCUACCUGGGAGAAAGAAUUACAUAAAAUCGUGUUUGAUCCGCGCUAUCUCCUGCUAAAUUCCGAGGAGCGGAAACAGGUAAGGUGGUAGGAGGUGUGGUGACGGACUCGGGGACGCAGAGUUAAAGUGAUGCUCCGUCCUGACAGCUCUGCGGAGGAGCAGGUGCCUGUCACCUUUGCCGUGUCAGUGGGGAAGCCAUGAGAAUCCACUGCUGGCCUGUGAGCUUGUGAACGGGAAGAGCUACGGGGGCAGCGGGAGGCUACCCUGGUGCCUGCUCUUGGCGAGCCGCCUGGUCAUGACCCCAUGAGACAAACACAGAGGUGAAAACUCAGCUUUGGGGAACAUUGACCACAUCCUGGGUGACUGUAUUAAAAAGACUUAAGAUCUGAUAUAAUAAAAGUGAAAUAGGAGAGGGUCCAGGGAACAACAGUAGCAAAAGUAAAGGAUGGACUUUUCUAGAAAGUGGGUCCCCAGAAAAGCAAGAAUGGAUUAGAGAUAGCUGGCCCGGAGGUCACUUUAAAUGGACAUGUGACAGGGGUCUGCCCUGGCUUGAAGAGAAGUCAAGUCAUGGAGCCAGAACUGUCUCCCGGAUUAAGCAGACAGAGGGACGGGCUGUGCUGACCGGUGGGGACGCCUGAGCUUUCACACCCUGCCAGGAUCUGGUGGCUCCUGGAGCACAUCCAACAAGGGCCCCGAGAUAAAUUCCAGAAGGAUCCAGAUUCUGCGUCUGCAUCUGUGUUCCCGCCCCAAUCACGCGUCUCCCUCCCUCUGCCCUCUGAGUGCAGAGCAGAUACAUGUGGAAAGUGGGUGACCAGGCGCCAUCCCUGGAGACACAAGCCCACGAGGGUCAUCUCACCUCCGAUGUCGCGGCCCUGGCGGCAUCCGUCUGAUUUCAGACAGCAGGGUCUGGGAAAGCCCGGGCCAGGGGGAUGGAAAGUGCAAUUUAUUUUCAAUUCUGUCAUCAACUCGUGAAAUUCCCUUAGGUGUAGACCAAGGGGCUGCACGCAGGCCAGGCGGGCAGGGCCUCGCUGUGUGUUUGGGUGUUUUAUAUCUGUUUUCCCCACAGCCGAGGAAACUCGGUGAUUGUAAUCAUUGGUAAUAUCUCACCCUUUUGUUGCCCUGUUACAAAUCACAAAGUUCAGCUCUCCAGCUGUGACCAGAGAGAAGCCCGUUUAUUUUGGUGACAAGAUCACUUUAAACCGUAACAGAUAAAGGUCAGCACAGCUGUAGACUCUGUCGCUGACUGUCGUGAUCAACACUCUUCAUCUCUAGUCCAUGGAUGGUUUUAGAGGCCAUCAGCCCCUUUAAAGGAAGCUGAAGAAGUGAAGAAGUGAGACCCUUCCCACCGCACCCCCGAGAAAAGCCGAGCUGAUGAUUCAGUGCUUAAGCCCCGUCUCUCAGACGUCAGGGAGCUCAGGGCACCGUUUGCCUGGAAUGGACCAGGCUCUUGGGCAGGGCAGGGUCUCCUGCCCUCCGGGUGUCUGGGGGGUGGUCAUGGCACAAGACUCACCCACGGGAGCAGGGCGGCUGGACUCCCACAGCCCUGGUGAGAGAGACAGGCGCUGACCGAGAGGGGCUGUGACUGCCAGGGUGCUCUCGGGGCAGACAGAUCAGACUAGAAGGUCAGCUCACAGCCAGAGCCCGCCGUUUGGUGGGGGGCCCUCAGACGUCCCUGGGAAAUCGUGCAGAGGAAACAGCAGGCCUGUGUUCAUACCACAGCGUGGUCCCAGAGCCCCACCAGGAGGAGGAAGCAGGGCUCCCCGUAGCUAAAGGCCUCAGAUUACACGCAGGCAUCGUAAGGGAAACCCCACCCCAGCAAAUCGACAGUGCUGUGGUUUCUAAGAGGCACGGGGCUGAAGCUGAACUGAUGAAGGAAACAAUAUUUGGGCCCCAUUCAGAAAACACAGUCCUAUUUAUGAAUGAAUUGGGCCGGCAACACCAGACAUGGACUCUGUGUGGGACCUACUGUCACAUAGUGUUCGUGGGAAAAGCCGAGGCUCAUGGUGUGUGCACUGCAUCCACCCUUCCACGGGGUCUGCAGAGGAGAUGUGACUGAGCCGAAGUAGAGGGUAGGGGUCCUGGGAGCGCUCGUCAGACCUGUUUCUAUGGUAACACAGAGCGUUCCAUCUUAUUUCACUGGAACACGCCAUGACGAGAUAAUGGCCAAUGGUCUCUCUUUUAAAAAGUCAUGCCCCAUUUUGAAUAAAACUGGUAUAAUUUGUUAAAGAGGAGGGGGAAAAAAAACUGUUACAUUAAAUUAUAGCGGCAUAAAUAAAGCAGCAGAGCAAAGGCAGAGGAGAGAGCAAAUCUGAUUAGAGGGAUAAAUGAUUCCAGGCAGAGAGAGAAGGAGGCCUUUCUCACCAGCUCUGACCCCACCACCAGCCAGGGUCUCUAUCCAGAUUUAAAAUUAAUAGAGCAAAACUCUGACUAAUGAUGGACCCACACGCUUUUAUUUGCAUAAUAACCCUGCGUUUACCUUCUUUAUGAGCUUAAAUUAUAGAAGAACUGGAGAGUUUACAUGACCGCUUGCCUUGAAGGUGAAAUAAGCCAACCAUACUCUUACUUAAAUAUAUACGCACGCUCUCCAUCUAAGGCCUGUUCCUGAAUAUUUCAUUUUGCUGAUGAUUCUUCAGGAGGCGAGUAGCAUUUUGUAUUUAUACUCCUGUAAAGGCUGGCCGUGACUGAAAUGGAAUCUGAAACCGUCAGGCAGAGCCGGGACACCCGUUCUGCAGGGGAGUGAUGGGGUUUCGGCCAAGUCGCCACCGCCUGGUUCCAUGUCCUGGGCAGGAGGGCGGGAGAUUCCCUGAGCUCUUCGUCAGAUUCCAGUAUCUGCAGUGACCACUGAUUGGGUUGGUACAGAACUGCUAUUCAUUGGCCUCAUAGGAUCAGAUGUGGGCUCUUUGCUGAUCUUCUUAUCUGCGUUCGUACACACAUCUAAAUUUUCUCCAGUUUAUUCUCCUUUCAACGUUUUCGAGGCUUGGAGAGCUUUGGGAAUGAAACAGCUGUCUCCACCUCCCUUUGGCUUUAGUCUACAAAUGACAAUUUUCUGAUAUUAGAACAAUGAGCGGUCUUAAUCCAAGCAAGGGAGGCUCACUCUAUGGUCUACUGCAAAGGAUGAUUCCCUGGGGGCAUUUUGUCAUGUCGGCUGCCAGUACCCAAGAGAAACCUUCCCAGGGUCUUGGAUGGAUUUGCCUACCAGACAAUAUCGAUAUCCUGUGGGCUAAGGGUCUGGUUUUCCUGUGGAGGUAGCCUUCAAAGCCCAUUCUCGUCGAGCUGGGGAGAAGGAGUGCAGUGCCUGGUGGUCGGGUCUCCUCAUUGGGUGUUUCCAUGACACCAAGGAGAGGCUCACCUUGCCCACAGGAGCCCCUGGGGAACCAGACCCUUGUUCACAAGUAGGUCUUCUUGAAGACUAGAGUGUGGGAAACGAGAGAUGCUGGGUUGACUUUCUUUUCACAAGUUCAAAGUCACUUUGGAGACUCAAAUGCCAGUUACAUUGCCACAGGGAUUACUAGAACAAAGUACAGACUCUCACGUGUCAUGGUACCGCUGGCCAGGCUGUGAAAGUCGGUGAGACAGUGCGUGCAGGUAAGUGGUGCUCAAGAGGUUCCAAAACAAGAAAUAUCGGAGCACUGGAGCUGGGAUUUCCAAACUGUCCACUGCUCCCGCCACACCUCUAGAGAGGGCCGCCCACUCAUACCCAGGAUUUCCAAGCAGGCUGAUUCAGCGUUUGGCCCCCAGAUGGUGUCUGGACGUGGAAAAGCGCACUGGCCUCGUGGGAGAGCAGGUGUAAUUGUCCAGACACUUGCUUUCACGGAGAGGCCAGAUUAAAGGCUCUGGUUUUUAGCUCCAGCAACUGUGAAAAAGACAGGCUUAUCUCAGAUUCUUGCUGUGUUUUGUGUGGUGUUUGAAGCGCAGGAGUUCAUUUCCAAUACGCAUUCUUGUAAUAGUUCUGUUUUGUGUGUGUCUUAAGAUAUUUGAACAGUUUGUCAAGACAAGAAUAAAAGAAGAAUACAAGGAAAAGAAAAGCAAAUUGCUGCUGGCCAAAGAAGAAUUCAAAAAACUUCUAGAGGAAUCUAAAGUCUCACCCAGGACCACAUUUAAGGAGUUUGCUGAGAAGUACGGCCGGGAUCAGAGGUUUCGACUUGUCCAAAAACGGAAGGACCAGGAGCAUUUUUUCAACCAGUUCAUCCUUAUUCUCAAGAAACGGGACAAGGAAAACAGACUCAGGCUGCGGAAAAUGAGAUGAGUGUGUGCAGAUGCCAUCAGGCUGGGCGUGGCAGGGGCUGGGCGGACGGGCGCCCACGCAGCCAGGUCGGGAGCCCCAGGGGCCGUGGGCUUCGUUCUCAGAGGGUUAUUGUUUCAUAUUGAAGCUCUCUUUGGUACAACUUUCCGAGUUUGAUGCAUUUCUAAUUGCCAUGAUAUGUUGCUCCCUUCAUUGCUUUAAUUAUGCAAAUGACUUGUAAUAUAGACAGAUUCUAAAUCUGCUGCAGGUUUGUACCUCAACAGAAACAGACACCAUCUCUAACCAUCUCAAGGUGUUUUCAUGAGUCGAGCUGAUUAUCUGAAACUUUUCUGAAAAUCUUCAUGAGUUCCUUCCAUCCUUCAGGAGUUCUGUGGUGUUGGGACGUCCCGGCUCGGGUCCCCGGGUCUAGUCUUCUGAGUAGUAGUGUAUAGGCUGUUCAUCAUCAUAGUGACACCUGUGACCGUUGGACACAUGGACCGUGGACCACCUCCAGGUCAAAGGGCGAUCGCCCCAGCCCCCUCCGGGGACAUCGGGCCUGGAGAAGGGGGCUGUGCUUUCUGUGGGAGGUCCUACUUAAAAAAGAAUUAUUUUGUACAAAAUCAUCCUAUUAAUAUUUAAGUUAUUUUCUUGUAUGCCCAGAGUUUGCAUGAGAUUUUUCUCACCAUCUUUGUAUAAAAAAUUAAAAAUUUUUUUGAA